rnacentral:rRNA from 1 species
AAGCAAGCUUGCUUGCUUUGCUUGACGAAGUGGCGGACGGGUGAAGUAAUGUCUGGGAAACUUGCCUGAUGGAGGGGGAUAACUUACUUGGAAACGGUAGCUAAUACCGCAUAACGUCGCAAGACCAAAGAGGGGGACCUUCGGGCCUCUUGCCAUCGGAUGUGCCCAGAUGGGAUUAGCUAGUAGGUGGGGUAAAGGCUCACCUAGGCGACGAUCCCUAGCUGGUCUGAGAGGAUGACCAGCCACACUGGAACUGAGACACGGUCCAGACUCCUACGGGAGGCAGCAGUGGGGAAUAUUGCACAAUGGGCGCAAGCCUGAUGCAGCCAUGCCGCGUGUAUGAAGAAGGCCUUCGGGUUGUAAAGUACUUUCAGCGGGGAGGAAGGGAGUAAAGUUAAUACCUUUGCUCAUUGACGUUACCCGC